ensembl:lincRNA
AUGGAUGUCAAUCAGAGAGCCCCACCAAUGGGGUCGCGCGUUUCCCGCGGCGUCCGCCCCCGCCUCAGCCUCCCGGCGCCCGCGUUGCCUUACCCUAGGCCGCCGCGGCGGCGCCCGCUCGCGCCUGCAUCCGGGUCUUCGCGCGCUGCUCUCCGUGCGGGGCGGCCGGCGGCGGGAGGCGUGAGACGAGCUAUCUUGGCGGCGGCGGCGGCAGCAGCGACGGGGGUCGGUGUUCUGACUCUGAGAUGUCUGGUCCCUUCCACAAGAAGAAAUCAGAGGCAGGACCCAGAGGGUAACCUGCUGCAGCAGAUGCUCACUCAGGAUCCAGCUACAGAUGGGUAAGGUUUGAAAGUAAACUGGGCCAGACUGUUGGGGUCAAGACACGUUGUACAGGCUAGUGGGAGAGCCAUUCUAUGCUUGAUUUUAAGAAAUCAAUUCUCUGUGAGUGUGAUUCAUUUUCUAUAAUUAUUCAUCAUCACACUGAAGACUCAAUGUCAGACACCAUUAAUUUGAGCCACCGUUUGAGUUUAGGUUUCUGAAAACAUAUCACAGCCUCCCUCCCUGACCUCACAGAAUGCCCUAGACUGAUGAGUUGAAACCACUCCCAUUUAUUUCUCAUGCUUCUGCAGGCUUCAAUUCCCAGGUCAAGGGCUGGCAGAUUCCACAUAUGAUGAGGACUCUCACCCUUACUUGGGAAAGUAACCAGCUUCACCUGUGUCCUCACAUAGCUGAGACAGUUCUGGAGUCUCUUCCUCUUCCUAAAAGCCACUAAUCCUAUUAUGGGAGCCCUACCCUGUUGACAUCGUCUGACCCUCAUUACCAACCAAAGACACAUUUCAGAAUACAUCACACUGGGUGUCAGUACUUCAACGCAUGAACUGUGGGGACAAAAUACCCUGUUUGUAAUAGACAGCACGAACAAUGAGGACACAAAGGAAAAUCAGAUUCCCCAGUGUAGCCCUUCGUGUUUAUGCCUGGUUCCUGGAGGUUGACAGACCAAAGAAAAAGGUUUAUGCCAGGGAAGAUGUGACAGGGACAAGAGGGUGUGCAGGGCCAGGUGUACUGGGAAGGGAGGGUGAGGGUGGAGGACAGUGACUGAUCCUGAGCAAUAACAGGCCAGUGCUCCAGUCCCUCUCCCCGCAGCAUCCAUCCAUGAGCCUAGAGGAGAGCCUGAGGAAUGGAACUAGACAAGCAACUUUGAUCCCAUGACCUACUACAAGGUGACUGAAGAGUGAAUCAGGGACACUGGGUCUGGGACUGGGUUGUGGAAGGGCAUGCACUCUAUUCCUCUGUCCCAGAACUGUGAUUCUGUCCUGGGAUCAGCUAUAUUCACUGGGUCCUGUCACCUACAUAUUGCCAAGCAAGAGUGUUCACUACCACUGGCUCCACUUCAGGACACCUUGGUGUUCAGGAGGCUGUUGCCUUUACCAGCAAAGCUGGGAGUACUUGGUCUAAGAGUCCUAGAAGUUCUGACCUCACUCUGCAUGGGGUUUCCUCUAAAGGUGGCUGUAUAAAGGGGGAAAAGUUCCUCCAGCCUUGUCCCUAUCCAUGAGAUGGAACCUGAGAUUCCUGAAGAUGGUAGGAGAGAAGACAGCACAUUCAGCAGAAGAGAGCCUCUCAGGAACCCUGAGGACACACUCCUGCCCUUACUGCUUUUGUUCCACCUACUCCACUCCAUUCAGGAAACAAAUGAACAAAUACAGAAUCAAAGACAUAGCAGCAGAGGGAAGCAACAGAAUCAUUUCAGCUUAACUUCCACUUUCUCCUGACUUCUGGCUCUUCUUUCCCAGGUCAUCAUUCCAAGGCUCAGAGUCCCAACUCAGGAUCCCUGGAUGGAGCAAAGACCUUUGGUGAUCUCUGCAAUAACUCACUUCCUGACCAGCACUUGGUGGUCAGCUGUUGUGUGUGGCCUUCACAAGGGCAGAAGGGUCAGUUGAGGGCUCUGCUAGGUGACCUUAGCCUGACUACAUUCCUUGCAGGUGAAGAAGGAUGUGUCCAGAACUCUGGUUAUGCCCUAAGAUCAGUACGCUCCUAUCACUAGACCAGCUAGCCCCAGGGCAUUGCUCUCAUCCCUGCCUUUGGCUCCAUCCUGGUGCCAUUAUGGCCUGUGACCUGGUUUCUCUACCAGUUCAGCCUCUGCCUUCCCACACUCCAGGUUCAUGGAGUUUGAGGAUGUAGCAAAAAAAAAAAAAAAAGGAAAAUAAGAUAUAGUUAAUGGGGGAGGCUAGUGAUUGGAUCACCUCUAGCUCCAACAAGGUCAGAUUCUCUAAGGCCCCAACCCCUGCAGUUGUCCAGCAAGGCUAGCCAUAUUCCCACAGAGGCCCAUGGUGGAGGCCAAAGAGGGCAAAGACAAGCCACUAUCCCAUGUUUGUUUGGUUUUCUCUCAGUUGGGGCAUUUGUUCUUGCAAACAGAAUAUCGCCUCAGAACCUGGAGUUCCUGUUGGCCUUGGGCACAAAGUGGGUAUUGAUCAUCCGUGCAAGGGCCAGACAGAGGGACUUUCCUGCUUUAAGGGGCCUACUGUGCACAUCCUGAUAUUAUAUACAUCCCUUCAAAGUCCCUUUCAGUCCUCUGUACCAUUAAACAGUGUGUUAGAGUGGAAACCACAGCCACAGUUUUAUUAAGGUCUUCUUUCUGCUUCCUGAAAAGGGCCAAGUGGUAAGGCUAGACCAAUUUUGAGCCACACCUGGCCUUCAUGAGUGGGUGGUUUGACCUGGCUUCUAUGGAAAGAAACCACUGCAUCUUGGAGAAACUUCAACUGACAACACCAGCAAGAUCCCCUGCUUCAAGCCCCUUUAUUAAUGAAAAUGCCUUGUCUAACAAUCACUGGGAAGGCCUAGCUCUUAGGGACACUGUACUGGAGCUGCACUUUUAUUCUAACUCAGAGUUGCAGGAAGUCUUCCAGUUCUGUGUGCAUGAGCAGGACUGACAGAGUCCCUGAUUUGUGGGACCUAUCAGGGUGGCUAAGCAGCUGAGACACUGCCUGACCCUUAACAUCGUAAAUGUUUUUGCUUCAGGUUAUUUAAAAAUCAUCUAUAAAAAAUUCAUAUAACACACAUUGCCAUUUAAACAUUUAAGUCUGAGGGUUUUAAAAAAUACAACUUGCAACUACGACUGCAGUAAAUAUAUUCAUAGAGUCUUAUCACCUCAAAGAGUCAUCACCUGCUAUUUAGUGACUACCUCAUGCAUCUUUGCUGCAACCACUAGUUACUCUGUCUCUGCAUAUUUUUCCAGAUUUGUGCCUAAUCUAGUCCUUUUCCCAUUCACUUUGUCAUCUAGAUGCAUUGGGCUUAUACAUUUGAUUUUAACAUGCAUUAUUAAAAUAUGCAUUCUCAAUGGACAAAUUUAGUGACAUUUAUUGUUUCACCUACACACAUUCUUAAUGAAAACUGGUCUGUCUGACUGUCUAUCUAUCUACCUAUUUAUCUAAAGCUGCCAAGAGUGAUCUUGAACUCAGUGGGGAUCCUUGUACCUUGGCCUCCCUUAUGGCUGGGAUUAUAGCCAUGUGCCGCCAAGCCUGGCUAAAAGUGACUUGUCCAAUGCAAGUGUAGGAAAGUGACAAAUAUAAUCCCUAUUGGUGUUGCUUGAUACCACUGUCUCGCUUCAUUUUAAGACACCAGCAGUUCUCCCAUCAUUGUUUUUGUAACUUCGGUGGAGAUGCCAACAUAAUUCUUCCAAAUUCAAGUUAACUAAUACUUAAAUAUAUCAAUAUCACCACCAUUCUGUUUCGGAUCAAGCAUGAAAAUCUUCUUUGAUGAUUAUUUCCUGCUGAUACCAAUAUUUGACAAGGUCUUGUAUCCAGAAUAUAAAAGAAAUUCUCAAAAUUCUUCACCAAAAAUGGAAACACUCCAAUAUUUGGCAAACAAGUCAUAAAAAGAUGUGUAACAUCACUAGCGAUUAACAAAAUAUAAAUUAAAAUCCCAAGAACAAUGGCCACAUGCUGAUUUGAACAACUAAAAGACAAAUGAGUGACAGUACUGCAUGCUGAUGAGAAAACCAAGAAACUAGAUCUGUCAUUUCUUUCUGAUGGGACUGUCAAAUGAAAAAGACACCAUGCAAAAUAACUUGAAUUCAGUAUAGUAUUAUACUGGUAUCAAAGCCAAAGAAAGAUAAUAAAGAAUAGAAAAUGAGAGACUAAUGUAUUUUAUAAAUAUUGAUGUAAACCCAAUCAACAAAACACUACUGAACUUAAUUCAAAAGUACCUAACAAAGAACAUUCACUAGCAACACAAAGGAUUUCUUUCUUGAUGCCAGGAUGGUUCAACAUAUGAAAUAGAAACAGUAUAAUAUACAAGUUUGACAUAACAAAGGGAAAACAACAAUAUAUUGUCCAUCUCCAUUGUUGAAAAUUGGGAAAAAACAUAUUUGACAAAAC